ensembl:misc_RNA Y_RNA Y RNA
GGCUGGUCCGAAGGUAGUGAGUUAUCACAACUGAUUGCUCACAGUCAGUUACAGAUUGAACUCCUUGUUCUACUCUUUCCCCACUUCUUACUACUGCACUUGACCAGUCUUAA